rnacentral:tRNA from 1 species
GUGCUCGUAGCUCAAUUGGAUAGAGCGUCGGCCUCCGAAGCCGAAGGUUGCAGGUUCGACUCCCGCCGAGCACG